GAUGAACGCUGGCGGCGUGCCUAAUACAUGCAAGUCGAGCGAACAGACGAGGAGCUUGCUCCUCUGACGUUAGCGGCGGACGGGUGAGUAACACGUGGAUAACCUACCUAUAAGACUGGGAUAACUUCGGGAAACCGGAGCUAAUACCGGAUAACAUGUUGAACCGCAUGGUUCAACAGUGAAAGACGGUCUUGCUGUCACUUAUAGAUGGAUCCGCGCCGCAUUAGCUAGUUGGUAAGGUAACGGCUUACCAAGGCAACGAUAAGUAGCCGACCUGAGAGGGGGGGCAGCCAAGCGGGGCGAGUGACACGGACCAGAGAACUGCGGGAGGCAGCGGGGGGGAGUCUUUGGAAAUUGACGAAAGUCCGACCAAGCAAGGACGAGGGAAAGAAGAAGGUUGUCGGAUCGUAAAGCUCGGGUGAAAGAGAAGAACGGGAGUGAGAGGGGAAAGUGCACACCGUGACGGUAGCUGACCAGAAAGGGACGGCUAACUACGUG
rnacentral:rRNA from 1 species